AGCUUGCUGCUUCGCUGACGAGUGGCGGACGGGUGAGUAAUGUCUGGGAAACUGCCUGAUGGAGGGGGAUAACUACUGGAAACGGUGGCUAAUACCGCAUAACGUCGCAAGACCAAAGAGGGGGACCUUCGGGCCUCUUGCCAUCAGAUGUGCCCAGAUGGGAUUAGCUUGUUGGUGAGGUAACGGCUCACCAAGGCGACGAUCCCUAGCUGGUCUGAGAGGAUGACCAGCCACACUGGAACUGAGACACGGUCCAGACUCCUACGGGAGGCAGCAGUGGGGAAUAUUGCACAAUGGGCGCAGCCUGAUGCACCAUGCCGCGUGUAUGAAGAGCCUUCGGUGUAAAGUACUUUCGCGGGGAGGAAGGGUUGUGGUAAUAACCGCA
rnacentral:rRNA from 1 species